UACGGAGGGUGCGAGCGUUGUCCGGAAUCAUUGGGCGUAAAGGGCGCGUAGGCGGUGCGAGAAGCGUGUGGUGAAAGGCCGGGGCUCAACCCCGGCUCGGCCGUGCGGACUCUCGCGCUUGGUGAGUGCUGUAGAGGCGGGCGGAAUUCCGGGUGUAGCGGUGGAAUGCGUAGAGAUCCGGAAGAACACCGGUGGCGAAGG
rnacentral:rRNA from 1 species